AACCCCAGUAAUGGCCAAAGAAAUACCUUGUUAGUGGUGGUAUCCUUAUAUCAGUCAGGUGCAAAGUAAAUGACAGUUCUUUGCUCAUCCUAGUUUGAUACCUGGCUUGGUGGCCAAAGUUGUCCUAUGCCUAGGACUCAUAA